AUGAACUUCUAGGUACAGUUAUCGUAUGAUACAGUCCUUCUAUCGUAGAUUCCUACAAGACGGAAGUCAUGAAUAACUCGUCAAACUCCAUCGUCUGUCAUAUAUUAAGAUUUAUUCGACUUUAAUUCGAGAGCAGAAAACUCCUUUUUCUGUACAUACUGCCCCGACCGAGGUCUUUCGAACUCCAUCUCAUAAAUCACAUAGAACCACUUCUUAUCUACCAAGAUCGAUAGAUUCUAUGUAGGUGCACACCCUACUCCUACAGUGAACCUACUGUAGCCAAUCUGCACUACAAGGAUCGAUAUGACUAGAG
rnacentral:lncRNA from 1 species